rnacentral:rRNA from 1 species
AUUGAACGCUGGCGGCAGGCCUAACACAUGCAAGUCGAGCGGAUGAAGGGAGCUUGCUCCUGGAUUCAGCGGCGGACGGGUGAGUAAUGCCUAGGAAUCUGCCUGGCAGUGGGGGAUAACGUCCGGAAACGGGCGCUAAUACCGCAUACGUCCUGAGGGAGAAAGUGGGGGAUCUUCGGACCUCACGCUAUCAGAUGAGCCUAGGUCGGAUUAGCUGGUUGGUGGGGUAAAGGCCUACCAAGGCGACGAUCCGUAACUGGUCUGAGAGGAUGAUCAGUCACACUGGAACUGAGACACGGUCCAGACUCCUACGGGAGGCAGCAGUGGGGAAUAUUGGACAAUGGGCGAAAGCCUGAUCCAGCCAUGCCGCGUGUGUGAAGAAGGUCUUCGGAUUGUAAAGCACUUUAAGUUGGGAGGAAGGGCAGUAAGUUAAUACCUUGCUGUUUUGACGUUACCAACAGAAUAAGCACCGGCUAACUUCGUG